UCGUGAUAUCAAUAUUGAUCAAAAUAAUCGUGAUAAUCAUUUUGGCAAUAAUCGUGCAGCCCUAAGGUGUAUCACCAAGAACUAUUUUUCGAAGGAUGGCAGAGUAUGGGCUGAGCGUGAGAGGAUUCUACAGCACCAUGACUGACGCAGAGCUCGAUAAUAUGGUCAGAGCUAUUAAAACACAGAUGCCCAAUGCAGGGUACAGGAGUGUAAAGGGACAGCUCAUGGCAAUGGGUAGCCGUGUUCAAUGGGAGAGGAUUACAGACUCAAUGCAUCGUCUCGAUGCAGCUGGAAUCCUGUCCCGACUUGCAAGGCUUGGCUGCACUGUACGAAGAUCAUACUCAGUACGAGGUCCCCUUGCAUUGGUGCACAUUGACACAAACCAUAAACUCAUCAGGUAUGGUUUAGGUUCCGUCUUCAUGACUUUUAAGCUACAUUAAAUCAGGUUAUCUAUUUUCCUGGGCGAGAUAUGAGUCAAUAUGGAUGCGUACUAAACAACAGUAAAUAAAUUAAGGCAUGCAUGACAAUUAAAUGUAUAACAUUUAUUAUCUUUUAAUUGUAUUACUUUUAUUCAUAGGUACAACCUGGUAAUAUUUGGUGGAGUUGAUGGAUUUUCCAGAAAGAUUGGUCAUGUUGCCCGAGACGUAGUGACUAAAACUUUGCAAGUUUUGCUGAGAAUACAUCCAUGGUCAUGGAUGUAUGGUCAUGUAUGGUCAUGCUUUCAUUGUUGGCUAACAUAUUUGUCACUCUGUGGUCUGUGCCCUAAAAAUAAAGUUUUUCUUAUGGCACCCUGCAGAACCUGUUAAUGCUUAUUAACAUUACAAUUAAGGUUAAGACUGUUGCUAUUGUAUUAGACCUAAACCUUUCACUGUCUGAGAUCAAAUUAUCCUUAAUUAUGACUAUAUAAUCUGUUAUUCCCCUAUUUAACCGUCAAAUGUUGUUUUUGAUUAUAAUUGCUGUGUACAUAAGCCUUUUCAGUUAUUAAUCAAUGUUAAUUUACACAGGUCCUGUACUUGGAUGCAGCAACCAACAACAAGCAUUCUCCUUUUUCCUUGAGGCCACUCGGUUACAUGGUGUUCCAUCAAGGGUUCGUGGAGAUCAAGGCGUUGAAAAUGUGGACAUUGGCAAUGUCACAUUGCCCAUUUCAUGUUCGAGAGACGUGGAACCGGUCGAGCUAGCUUUAUCUCGGGAAAGAGUGUACACAAUCAAAGGAUUGAACGGAUGUGGCGAGAUGUGUGGAUGGCUGUGACUUGCAUCUUUUAUGAUGUGCUUCACACGCUCGAGGAAGAUGGUGUUUUGGACAUAGCAAACAUAAUGCACCUUU